GAUGAACGCUGGCGGCGUGCCUAAUACAUGCAAGUCGAGCGAACAGACGAGGAGCUUGCUCCUCUGACGUUAGCGGCGGACGGUUGAGUAACACGUGGAUAACCUACCUAUAAGACUGGGAUAACUUCGGGAAACCGGAGCUAAUACCGGAUAAUAUAUUGAACCGCAUGGUUCAGUAGUGAAAGACGGUUUUGCUGUCACUUAUAGAUGGAUCCGCGCCGCAUUAGCUAGUUGGUAAGGUAACGGCUUACCAAGGCAACGAUGCGUAGCCGACCUGAGAGGGUGAUCGGCCACACUGGAACUGAGACACGGUCCAGACUCCUACGGGAGGCAGCAGUAGGGAAUCUUCCGCAAUGGGCGAAAGCCUGACGGAGCAACGCCGCGUGAGUGAUGAAGGUCUUCGGAUCGUAAAACUCUGUUAUUAGGGAAGAACAAAUGUGUAAGUAACUAUGCACGUCUUGACGGUACCUAAUCAGAAAGCCACGGCUAACUACGUG
rnacentral:rRNA from 1 species